rnacentral:rRNA from 1 species
AACGUAGGUCACAAGCGUUGUCCGGAAUUACUGGGUGUAAAGGGAGCGCAGGCGGGGAGACAAGUUGGAAGUGAAAUCUAUGGGCUCAACCCAUAAACUGCUUUCAAAACUGUUUUUCUUGAGUAGUGCAGAGGUAGGCGGAAUUCCCGGUGUAGCGGUGGAAUGCGUAGAUAUCGGGAGGAACACCAGUGGCGAAGGCGGCCUACUGGGCACCAACUGACGCUGAGGCUCGAAAGUGUGGGUAGCAAACAGG